rnacentral:rRNA from 1 species
UGGGGAAUUUUGGACAAUGGGCGAAAGCCUGAUCCAGCAAUGCCGCGUGUGUGAAGAAGGCCUUCGGGUUGUAAAGCACUUUUGUCCGGAAAGAAAUCCUCUGGGUUAAUACCUCGGGGGGAUGACGGUACCGGAAGAAUAAGCACCGGCUAACUACGUGCCAGCAGCCGCGGUAAUACGUAGGGUGCAAGCGUUAAUCGGAAUUACUGGGCGUAAAGCGUGCGCAGGCGGUUUUGCAAGACGGAUGUGAAAUCCCCGGGCUUAACCUGGGAACUGCAGUCGUGACUGCAAGGCUAGAGUAUGGCAGAGGGGGGUAGAAUUCCACGUGUAGCAGUGAAAUGCGUAGAGAUGUGGAGGAAUACCGAUGGCGAAGGCAGCCCCCUGGGCCAAUACUGACGCUCAUGCACGAAAGCGUGGGGAGCAAACA